GGGCUAUUAGCUCAGCCGGUUAGAGCACACCCUUGAUAAGGGUGGGGUCGCUGGUUCAAGUCCAGCAUAGCCCA
rnacentral:tRNA from 1 species